UAGGGAAUCUUCGGCAAUGGACGAAAGUCUGACCGAGCAACGCCGCGUGAGUGAAGAAGGUUUUCGGAUCGUAAAACUCUGUUGUUAGAGAAGAACAAGGACGUUAGUAACUGAACGUCCCCUGACGGUAUCUAACCAGAAAGCCACGGCUAACUACGUGCCAGCAGCCGCGGUAAUACGUAGGUGGCAAGCGUUGUCCGGAUUUAUUGGGCGUAAAGCGAGCGCAGGCGGUUUCUUAAGUCUGAUGUGAAAGCCCCCGGCUCAACCGGGGAGGGUCAUUGGAAACUGGGAGACUUGAGUGGAGAAGAGGAGAGUGGAAUUCCAUGUGUAGCGGUGAGAUGCGUAGAUAUAUGGAGGAACACCAGUGGCGAAGGCGGCUCUCUGGUCUGUAACUGACGCUGAGGCUCGAAAGCGUGGGGAGCAAACAGG
rnacentral:rRNA from 1 species